AGCUGGUCCACAGGCAGCGAGUUAUCUUAACUGAGUGUUCACAGUCAGUUACAGACUGACCGUUCUACUCUAUACCCCCUUCUCACUACUGCACUUGACUAGUCUUAA
rnacentral:Y_RNA from 1 species